rnacentral:rRNA from 1 species
AUUGAACGCUGGCGGCAUGCCUUACACAUGCAAGCCGAACGGUAACAGGUCUUCGGACGCUGACGAGUGGCAAACGGGUGAGUAAUACAUCGGAACGAGCCCAGUCGUGGGGGAUAACUACUCGAAAGAGUAGCUAAUACCGCAUACGAUCUGAGGAUGAAAGCGGGGGACCUUCGGUCCUAGCGCGAUUGGAGAGGCUGAUGGCAGCUUAGGUAGUUGGUGGGAUAAAAGCUUUCCAAGCCGACAAUCUGUAGCUGGUCUGAGAGGACGACCGGCCAUACUGGGUAUGAGACACGGCCCAGACUCCUCCGGGAUGCAGCAGUGGGGAAUUUUGGACAAUGGGCGAAUGCCGGAUCCAGCAAUGCCGCGUGCAGGUCGAAGGCCUUCGGGUUGUAAACUGCUUUUGUACGGAACGAAAAAGCUCCUUCUAAUACACGGGGCCCAUGACGGUACCGUAAGAAUAAGCACCGGCUAACUACGUGCCAGCCGCCGCCGUAA